GAGGCUGAGCAGGCACCCAGCUCCCCAAGGACGUGACACAGCCAGGCCUGGCUUGUGCUCCUCCGCAGGAAGCCCUGCAGCAUGGCGCACCUGGGCUUGGUCCAGCCUUGAGGUAGGGGCCUGGCUGUCCCUGCAGGGCAGGGAACAGCCUCCACAGCUACCCCUGGAGAGGAACGACCAGGAGACUUUGUCAGCCAACAUUGGAGGCCACUGGGGGAUGGGGCCCUGCAGAUAAAGGGGCCUGGGUGGGGCAGCAACAGCACCCACUGCAGGAACGGCCCUUUCUCUUUCUUUCCAGCCUUGGAAGCAUGACUUUAUCCAUCUGCUCCUUUGCUCUGGAAGAGCAACCAAUCUGAAAAAGUACUCAGCUACAGCAAAGGUCAGCAGCCGAGUGGCCCAGGGAUGCAGCCCCUGCCCCGAGACAUGGAUCUGCCUGCCCGGGAUGGGGAUGUCCAGGGAGAUCUGCAGUCCCUCCGGGGUCUGGUUCUACCUCCACACACAUCCAAAGCAAAGCUUCUGUGGGUCCCUGGAUAUCUGGGGAAAUCAAGGCUGUGCUCCAGAAAUAGGUCUGCUAUCUGAUGGCCGGGGCAUAGAAAACAUCCACGCCAGAUAUUUGGGAUGUCUUUAUCUUUUCACCCUGUGGAACCCAAACUCCAUGCUGCCUGGAUGGCACACCCAGACUCCCCGAGGAUGGCUACCUCCUCUCUGCCUCCCUCACACCUGUGCUGGGAAGGGUUUCCUUUCUCAUUCUUUUCUUGUCUGUAGAACACAAAAGUUAUCACCAAAGUGAGCAACUGAUUGUGAGUUCUUGUCUUAUGACACACCUAAAGCAGCUAGGGUUUUCUGGGAUUGAAGAGCAAGAGCUUCAGUUCCUCCUGGUGGGAAGCAGGGCUUAUGGAUCCAGGGUCCUGUGGGAUCUCAAGCCAGCAAGAGCAACUUUAUCAGCCCUUCCUACGUGCGAGUCCCCCGAGAGAUGCCGGAUCCCAGGAACCAGCACAGAGGGCGGCCCUGCAGAUCCCUCCCAAACAUGCCCACAGCAGAAGUCCUGUGGCCCAGGGCUGAGGGAGGGGAUAGCUCUCAGCUUUCGACAAAAGAAAUUAGAGGAGCCAAGAUCCUCAGAGUGGGGGCGGCUGUGGUUGGGCCCUGACAAAUUAGAGUGGGUAUGGUGAGGACAGACGCAGCAGCAGGGACGUGGUGUGGACGGAUGCAGCAGGAGGAAGGUGGUGUGGACGGAUGCAGGAGGAGGGAGGUGGUGUGGACGGAUGCAGCAGGAGAAACAUGGUUUGGACGGAUGAAGGAGGAGGGAGGUGGUGUGGACAGAUGGAGGAGAAAGCUGUGACUCCCGGCUCUGAGAUGACCUUUCCUGUCUCUUGCUGAUGUGUGCAUUAGCCUGGCCCUGGCUGGCUCGUGUGUGUGUGUGUGUGUGUGUGUGUGUGUGUGUGUGUGUGUG
rnacentral:lncRNA from 10 species